CCUACGGGAGGCUGCAGUGGGGAAUUUUGGACAAUGGGCGAAAGCCUGAUCCAGCCAUGCCGCGUGCAGGAUGAAGGCCUUCGGGUUGUAAACUGCUUUUGUACGGAACGAAAAGACUCCUUCUAAUAAAGGGGGUCCAUGACGGUACCGUAAGAAUAAGCACCGGCUAACUACGUGCCAGCAGCCGCGGUAAUACGUAGGGUGCAAGCGUUAAUCGGAAUUACUGGGCGUAAAGCGUGCGCAGGCGGUUAUAUAAGACAGAUGUGAAAUCCCCGGGCUCAACCUGGGAACUGCAUUUGUGACUGUAUAGCUAGAGUACGGCAGAGGGGGAUGGAAUUCCGCGUGUAGCAGUGAAAUGCGUAGAUAUGCGGAGGAACACCGAUGGCGAAGGCAAUCCCCUGGGCCUGUACUGACGCUCAUGCACGAAAGCGUGGGGAGCAAACAGGAUUAGAUACCCUGGUAGUC
rnacentral:rRNA from 1 species